rnacentral:rRNA from 1 species
GACGAAGGAUGCAAGCGUUAUCCGGAUUCAUUGGGUUUAAAGGGCGCGUAGGUGGCCUUAUAAGUCAGCGGUGAAAUCUCUGGGCUUAACCCAGAAAUUGCCAUUGAUACUGUAGGGCUUGAGUACAGUUGCUGUGGGCGGAAUAUGACAUGUAGUGGUGAAAUACAUAGAGAUGUCAUAGAACACCGAUUGCGAAGGCAGCUCACAAAACUGUAACUGACACUGAGGCUCGAAAGUGCGGGGAUCAAACAGG